GUAGCAGCGGGCGGCAGCCGCCGAGGCAGCAAUGUCAGGAGGGCACAGCUGGAGGAGGCGGCCGCCAAAGCCACUACCCCACCCCCAGGAAGAUUUGGAAAAGAGGCACUGGCUACUGGAGGAAGGGAGAAAUCACCGAGAGAGCGAAAGAUGUAACAGAUGCAGUGACUCAUGCCUAUAAUCCCAGUACUUUGGAAGGUCAAGGCACAAGGAUCCAUUGAGGCCAGGAGUCCAAGACCAGCCUGCACAAUGUAGCAAGACUCCUUCUCUACAAAAAAAUAAAUAAAAAUUAGCCAGGCAUGGUGGUGCACUCCUGUAGUCCCAGCUACUCAAGAGGCUGAUGUAGAGAAUCGCAUUAUCCCAGAGGUCAAGGCUGCAGUGAGCCGUGAUCAUGCCUCUGCACUCCAGCCUGGACGAUAGAGCAAGACUUUAUCUCAAAAAACAAAAAUUUAAAAAGAUAUCAGGUAGCUCAUAGAAUUGUUGAGAGGGCUGUAAAACCAGGCUUGAAC
rnacentral:lncRNA from 1 species